UAGUAGGCGGGGUAACGGCCCACCUAGUCUUCGAUGGAUAGGGGUUCUGAGAGGAAGGUCCCCCACAUUGGAACUGAGACACGGUCCAAACUCCUACGGGAGGCAGCAGUGAGGAAUAUUGGUCAAUGGGCGCAGGCCUGAACCAGCCAAGUAGCGUGAAGGAUGACUGCCCUAUGGGUUGUAAACUUCUUUUAUAAAGGAAUAAAGUCGGGUAUGUAUACCCGUUUGCAUGUACUUUAUGAAUAAGGAUCGGCUAACUCCGUGCCAGCAGCCGCGGUAAUACGGAGGAUCCGAGCGUUAUCCGGAUUUAUUGGGUUU
rnacentral:rRNA from 1 species